ACUUUACAAUGCGGGAAACCGUGAUAAGGGGACACCGAGUGCCAGCAUCAUAUGCUGGCUGUCCGGGUGUGUAAAAUACACUCGUUAGCAAGGGCCGGGCAAGACCGGUGCCAGCCGCCGCGGUAACACCGGCGGCCCGAGUGGUGAUCGUGAUUAUUGGGUCUAAAGGGUCCGUGGCCGGUUUGGUCAGUCCUCCGGGAAAUCUGAUAGCUUAACUAUUAGGCUUUCGGGGGAUACUGCCAGACUUGGAACCGGGAGAGGUAAGAGGUACUACAGGGGUAGGAGUGAAAUCUUGUAAUCCCUGUGGGACCACCUGUGGCGAAGGCGUCUUACCAGAACGGGUUCGACGGUGAGGGACGAAAGCUGGGGGCACGAACCGGAUUAGAUACCCGGGUAGUCCCAGCCGUAAACGAUGCUCGCUAGGUGUCAGGCAUGGCGCGACCGUGUCUGGUGCCGCAGGGAAGCCGUGAAGCGAGCCACCUGGGAAGUACGGCCGCAAGGCUGAAACUUAA
rnacentral:rRNA from 1 species